CCACCGAACACCGCGCUGCCGGCCUCUGGGUCCCUGAGACCCUUUAACCUGUGAGGACGUCCAGGGUCACAGGUGAGGUUCUUGGGAGCCUGGCGCCCGGCUCAGCCGCAAAGCCCUCUG
rnacentral:precursor_RNA from 14 species